AACGAACGCUGGCGGCAUGCCUAACACAUGCAAGUCGAACGAGAACUCCCGGUCUUGUGGCGCACGGCUGCGGACCGCGUGGGAACCAACCCUUAGGUUACCAAUAACUCACCGUAAGGGGUGUUAAGAACGGAUAAUGUAAUCCGACAUAAGAUUUAUCGCUGUAGGAUGGGCCCGCGUUAGAUUAGCUAGUUGGUAGGGUAAAAGCCUGCCAAGGCGAGGAUCCUUGGCUGGUCGGAGAGGAUGACCAGCUACGCUGGGACUGAGACACGGACCAGACUCCUACGGGAGAGAGCGGUAGGGAGUAUUAGACACUGAACGAAGGCCUGAUCCAGCAGUGCGGCGGGAGUGAUGAAGGCCUUAGGGUUGUAAAGCUCUUUUUCCCGGGGUGAUAAUGACAGUACCGGGUAAAGAAGCACCGGCUAACUCCGUG
rnacentral:rRNA from 1 species